UACCAUACUUGUUAUGCUCUUAAAUCCUCUGGCUGAAUUAUUGGGCCUGUCAUAUACAUUUAUACGUUGUGUAUGUCACAUAAAUUAGCCCUAGCCACUUUUAAGCAACCAGCACAGGAGCUCCGCAGCACAGGAGAUUUUUUACCGAGCCAGUUGUCUGGGAGGACAACUUGGUGGUCGACCGGUGGCCACCUGGGCAGAUUUUAAAAGCCCCAAAACCGACUGCUUCUAUUCCUGUUCUUUUCUCUGCUUCGUCUAUGUAAACCCUAAUCUCCAUAUCGCUCAAACUCCAUCUGCCAAACCCUCUAAAAACUCAAUCUCUAUCAAUUUCUUGUGUAAACUAAGUGCUAGCCAAGGCCUUUGGUGAUGGAGAGAGAAGGUGGAUGGUUCAAUGCUGAGCUAGCACCCAAUUGUCCAAGGUGUGCCUGCUCAAAUUCAGAGUUCUGUGCAUGAGGCUUUGUGCGACCAGAUUGAAGAGGUGAAGGCAGCAAUGGGGAGAAUUGGAGAAACAGUUUGAUCUUGUUGUGCCAGACAUGAACAAGUGGGAGGUGCAUUCUAGAGGAUGAGGUGCAUUCUCUUUUACUGUGAUUGUAUAAAUAAUUUGUAGUUUGUUUCUUAUAUAGAGGAGUUGGGACACCAUUCUUAGGUUGUUUAUGUACUGGAUGUAGUCAUGAAAUAACAUGGCAGUAGUUACUCUCUAAAAUUUUUGUAUGGGAUUUAGUUGCAGUGGCAUCUCAUAUGGGUGACCUACAAUAUUCUUGAGAACAUUAUUAUUGUGAUUAGUUAUUUAUUUAGUUUUAUAUCGGUGCUUCCACCAUUAAAAUCA